rnacentral:lncRNA from 1 species
UUUAGCAUUUAACUUUAGAAUACUUGAAAUCCUACCUUGAAAGCAUUCAUACUCAUUAAAAACUCAACACAUGAUCCAUAUUUACAUAAGGAUUUGGGUGUUACUCAAAAUGGUCAUGUAAUGAGCUGCUUCUCUGCAAAUUAAUAUUCAUUCCCUUCCCCCAUCCUUAAUGUGGGAUCUUUGAAGGAAAAGGAAGUGACCAAACUAAAGAGAUAGGGAAAUGCAAAAUCAAGGUGAAAAGUUAACCAGAGGGUUGUUUUAAUUUUGGCCAUCAAACCCCUAGUGAAUAAUGAUAACAGUAUCGUUUUGAUACCCAUUUUGUGGCAUUUACCUACUGUUAAACUAAAUUGACUAGAUGUAAAUAUAUUUUCAUCUUCAAAUGUUCAGAAUUUUUAUCCUUCCCCAUUGUUUCUGGAUUUUGAUGCUAAUCUUUUUUCUUUGCCUAUUGUGUAUAUUUACUCAACAACUAAUCUAAUUUUAGAUUUUUAGCUUAUCCACAUUUCAUUUUUGUUUGUUUCAUUGGUAUUUCAUCAAUACAAUGACUCUACCCUCCAAGGAAAAAAAAUCAGCCCGUCACACAAAAAUGCAUAUAUUCAAGAAAGAUAAAUUACAUUGUGAUGCUUCAAUCAUAUUCCAGUGCCUAGCACAGUACCUGGCACAUAAUAGAUGCUCCAUUUGAGUACCUAUUUGAUGAAUUAACAAACCCACCAAACAUAUUUGAUGGAUAGUAGCUCCAACAAAUACUGGAUCAUAGGAAAACAUUACUAGCAUUUGUCUUCUUACUCUUGAAGUAAGUACUUUUUCACUAUGCCUUGCUGCCUCUGUAAUUAUAAACCUGUUUAGUAUUAACAGGAUGAAUGCUUGAGGUAUGGAAAACAAGCUAUAUGUACUGCCUAAUUUUUUACAUAAGGAAAGAGGUUGCCUUUGAAAGGUAGAAGCUGAACACCCGUGGAAAAACAAUAGGAUAAAUUCCCCAGAACUCAGACAUCUUGGUACUCAACCACAAAAGCAUUCUUUUUUUUAUGAAGAAAUAAUUUGGUCAUAUGUGUCAAGCUUUCUCAUUAUUUAGUGGUUUGGAAUAAUUUUAAAUUGGCCAUUAGAAGUAAUGGCAGCAGGUUGAGGGCCUAGAAGUAUUAUAUAUUGUGUACUUUAUCAGUAAUUUUUAUGAUAUUUAUGAAGCUCAGUAUGGCUGAUGUUAAGAGACAGGGUUAUUAGCACUUCAGAACGUAAGAAUGGAAUUCAGAAUGACCUUGGAAAAAUUGAGAGGUGUUGAUCCUAAAUAGGAACACAUGUGGGGAGAAAAGACAAAUGCACUGUAACUGCAAUAUGCAACUGUGGCAGGGAGGAAUUUAGAAGACCAAAUUCAGAAUAACAAAGUAUUAAUCAUUCUUAUAUUACAUUCUUCAGACUAUUACUGGAAUACUAUGAUCAGUCUCAGUCCUACCAGUUUAAGAAAUUUGUAACAAAUUGUAUGAGAUUUAGAAGAUACAGAAAAUAAUUGAAGGUUAGAAAUUUAGGAAUGUGAAAACAGAAAAUAAGUUGAAUUUUAGUCAUGUAAGGUCUCAAAAUAUUUUAUCUCUCAUAUUUUCAUUCUCAGAAGCUACUCAAGGAUGUGCUCCACCAAAAUGAGGAGAUGAAGCCAAUAUAAAGGAAGACAAGGAAUACAAGAGACAGGCAAAGGGAAUUCCCAGGACAUAAGCAAGGGACAUCCCAGGUAGCAAGAGUGCACCUGAUGUCCAGGGCCGUCUUUCCAGGUAAUGCAUGUUAUAAGGUGUAAGGGGAGAUAUUUUUCAGGAAGGUGAAAAUAAAAGAAUUCCUGAUGCAUUUGACUAUUUUAAG